rnacentral:rRNA from 1 species
CCUACGGGUGGCAGCAGUGGGGAAUAUUGCACAAUGGGGGAAACCCUGAUGCAGCGACGCCGCGUGAGGGAAGAAGUACUUCGGGAUUUAAAGCUCUUUCAGCAGGGACGAAACAUGACGGUACCUGACGAGGAAGCUCCGGCUAACUACGUGCCAGCAGCCGCGGUAAUACGUAGGGGGCAAGCGUUGUCCGGAAUCAGUGGGUGUAAAGGGUGCGUAGGCGGCGGUGUAAGUCUGGUGUGAAAGGCGGAGGCUCAACCUCAGGACUGCACUGGAAACUGGAGUGCUUGAUGGCGGUAGAGGUAAGGGGAAGUCCUAGUGUAGCGGUGAAAUGCGUAGAUAUUAGGAGGAACACCAGUGGCGAAGGCGGCUUACUGGGCUGUAACUGACGUUGAGGCUCGAAAGCGUGGGGAGCAAACAGGAUUAGAUACCCCAGUAGUC